rnacentral:rRNA from 1 species
UACGUAGGGGGCAAGCGUUGUCCGGAUUUAUUGGGCGUAAAGAGCGUGUAGGCGGCUUUACAGGUCCGUUGUGAAAACUCGAGGCUCAACCUCGAGACGCCGGUGGAAACCGUAAGGCUAGAGUCCGGAAGAGGAGAGUGGAAUUCCUGGUGUAGCGGUGAAAUGCGCAGAUAUCAGGAGGAACACCUAUUGCGAAGGCAGCUCGCUGGGACGUUACUGACGCUGAGACGCGAAAGCGUGGGGAGCAAACAGG